CUUGGUACCAAAGGCCAGAGAGGGACUGAGGAAUGGAGCUUUCCCUGAUGGCACAGUGUUGCAGGAGUUCACCAUGGUAGAUCAAACAGGGUUGUUACUCCAUGACACUGAGUUGGGUGUCUCUCCUCCAAGCAAUGAUUCAGCAACCCUGGCUCCUCCCACCUUAUGGCUCCACCAUCCAAUGCAAAGGCUGCUAAGGUCACUCUGAGGGUCACUCCAUUCAUGAUGACUAGGAGGGGAAAAGAGAUUGGAG
rnacentral:lncRNA from 1 species